GAGUGGCGCACGGGUGAGUAACACAUGGCUGACCUGCCCCUCAGAGGGGGACAACCACCGGAAACGGUGGCUAAUACCCCAUACGCUCGCCGUGAUUAGCAGGCGGUGAGGAAACCUUCGGGGCUGAGGGAGGGGGCUGUGGCCCAUCAGCUAGUUGGUAGGGUAACGGCCUACCAAGGCGAAGACGGGUAGGGGGCCUGAGAGGGUGACCCCCCACACGGGCACUGAGACACGGGCCCGACUUCUACGGAAGGCAGCAGUGAGGGAUAUUGCCCAAUGGACGGAAGUCUGAGGCAGCAACGCCGCGUGCGGGAUGAAGGCCUUCGGGUUGUAAACCGCUUUUCUGCGCGAAGAGGAAGGACGGUAGCGCAGGAAGAAGUCUCGGCUAACUACGUGCCAGCAGCCGCGGUAAAACGUAGGAGGCGAGCGUUAUCCGGAUUUACUGGGUGUAAAGCGCGUGCAGGCGGUCAUGUAAGUGGUGCGUGAAAGCGCCCGGCUCAACCGGGCGAGGCCGUGCCAAACUGCGUGACUGGAGGCAGGUAGAGGCGCGUGGAAUUCCGGGUGUAGUGGUGAAAUGCGUAGAUAUCCGGAGGAACACCAGUGGCGAAGGUGGCGCGCUGGGCCUGACCUGACGCUAAGACGCGAAAGCAUGGGGAGCGAACGGGAUUAGAAACCCCGGUAGUCCAUGCUGUAAACGCUGCAGACUAGGUGUUGCGUGCGACGAGUAUGCAGUGCCGAAGCCAACGUGAUAAGUCUGCCACCUGGGGACUACGGCCGCAAGGUUAAAACUCAAAGGAAUUGACGGGGGCCCGCACAAGCAGCGGAGCGUGUGGUUUAAUUCGAGGCUACACGAAGAACCUUACCUGGGCUUGACAUGGCGGUGGUAGGGAACCGAAAGGGGACCGACCUUCGGGAGCCGUCACAGGUGCUGCAUGGCUGUCGUCAGCUCGUGUCGUGAGAUGUUCGGUUAAGUCUGGUAACGAGCGCAACCCUCGCCGUUAGUUACAAGUGUCUAACGGGACUACCCGUGGAACGCGGGAGGAAGGUGGGG
rnacentral:rRNA from 1 species